rnacentral:rRNA from 1 species
CCUACGGGUGGCAGCAGUGGGGAAUAUUGGGCAAUGGGCGCAAGCCUGACCCAGCAACGCCGCGUGAAGGAAGAAGGCUCUCGGGUUGUAAACUUCUUUUCUCAGGGACGAAGCAAGUGACGGUACCUGAGGAAUAAGCCACGGCUAACUACGUGCCAGCAGCCGCGGUAAUACGGAGGGGGCAAGCGUUAUCCGGAUUUGCUGGGUGUAAAGGGCGUGUAGGCGGGAAAGCAAGUCAGAUGUGAAAACCAUGGGCUCAACCUGUGGCCUGCAGUGGAAACUGUUGGUCUUGAGUAACGGGGAGGCAGGCGGAAUUCCUAGUGUAGCGGUGAAAUGCGUAGAUAUUAGGAGGAACACCAGUGGCGAAGGCGGCCUGCUGGACGACAACUGACGGUGAGGCGCGAAAGCGUGGGGAGCAAACAGGAUUAGAUACCCCUGUAGUC